rnacentral:rRNA from 1 species
UCCUGACUGACCGAUAGUGAACCAGUACCGUGAGGGAAAGGCGAAAAGAACCCCGGCGAGGGGAGUGAAAAAGAACCUGAAACCGUGUACGUACAAGCAGUGGGAGCACGCUUAGGCGUGUGACUGCGUACCUUUUGUAUAAUGGGUCAGCGACUUAUAUUCUGUAGCAAGGUUAACCGAAUAGGGGAGCCGAAGGGAAACCGAGUCUUAACUGGGCGUUAAGUUGCAGGGUAUAGACCCGAAACCCGGUGAUCUAGCCAUGGGCAGGUUGAAGGUUGGGUAACACUAACUGGAGGACCGAACCGACUAAUGUUGAAAAAUUAGCGGAUGACUUGUGGCUGGGGGUGAAAGGCCAAUCAAACCGGGAGAUAGCUGGUUCUCCCCGAAAGCUAUUUAGGUAGCGCCUCGUGAAUUCAUCUCCGGGGGUAGAGCACUGUUUCGGCAAGGGGGUCAUCCCGACUUACCAACCCGAUGCAA